UCCUUGGUGGCCCAGUGGUUAAGAAUCUGCCUUUGCAAUGCAGAGGAUGUGGGUUCGAUCCCUGGUUGGGGAA
rnacentral:tRNA from 1 species